rnacentral:tRNA from 1 species
GCAGGGGUGGCGGAGUUUGGUCAAACGCGCUAGAUUGAGGGUCUAGUGGCUUAGUGCCUGCGAGGGUUCGAAUCCCUUCCCCUGCA